CUUCAAAGAAUUUCCAGCUGAAACGGAAAUUACAAUGGAGGUCUUGCUGCAGGGUGUUCCAAUGAUUGUGUAUUCUGAGCACUAGUUUGACUUGCAUCGAAAAGAGACAGGCAGAUCUCUCUCAGAAAUCACCAGGGGGAGAAGAAAAGCCUGAUCCGUUUGGAAUUUUUUUUUUUUGAGUCCCUGUAGUUUUGCCCCGUGGGUCUCCAUGCACAUCAAGCUGCCAGCUCUGAAUCUCCUGAGAUGUUGGCUCCUGCAAGAAUGCCAGUGGCAGCUGGGAAAAAAAUGGCAAACACCGAAAAAAAUCCUUCUCCACUUCUGAAAUCUGGUCCAAAGUUUUCUGCAAAUAUUGAUCCUGCAAAUACAGCAACAGAGAUGCCMAGAAGACACACCACAGUUAUGGUCCCUAUGAUUCUGAUGUCAUUKGACUC